rnacentral:lncRNA from 1 species
GGAUCGAUUGUGGUAUCAAGAUAGUGAUCGCCUUUGUGUUUCAUUUUUGUAGUAAAAAAAAGAAAGAAAGCUCAACAACUUUGGUCAAGACUUCCCUAAAAAAAGCUCAGCAACUACUGGCAAUGACAAUGGAUAGAUCACAGCUGGUCUUUUUAUACUGUGAGUAGAUCGCAGUUUCUUGGGAGUUGGACGUGCCUGGCUUACUAUAAAGACUACCCUUUGCCAACUAGGUGCCCACCAGAUGGUUGGGGCCUAAAACUCCCACCAUCCCCAAUCCUUGGCCAUUCUGGCUGAGGAUGAGUUGUAGCCCAAAACAUAUGAAGGCCACCAGACUGGGGAAGGCUGGUCAUGCCCUGAACUUACUACAAAUAGAUGAGAAAGUAGAACAUUGAAUUUGAGCUUCUGGUAUAUUAUACUUCUGCAAUGUUUUUCUUUUUUCUUUUUGAAACGGGUAGUAACUCAGAAGGCUUUACUACAUGAAGGCAAUGAACAACUAGAAAAGUGAAGAUAGUUUCUGGGUGAGAUACAGGUUUGGUUUUUUAAAGUACAGAUUUUUUAUGUUUAUCUUCCAUAUCAAAGUUCAUGAGUUGCUUUUGGGUAACUUGUUAUUCAACACUGCUACCAAAAAAAUGACGAGAAACUGAUCCUUCAGACAUUCAUCUGUUUGUCAUGUUCCUAAAGCUCAUAACUUGGGACAAGGUUACCUGAAAGACUGGCUGUCCCUCUGUAGACCCAUAAGAUCAGUGAGAUCAUCUGGAGAAAUUCUACUUAUGGCAUUUCACCCUGUAGAAUAUCAUAGGGCAGUGACUGCCAGUAACUGCAUUUUUUGCUCUUGUCUCUGUCCUGCAGAGUGCCCUUCCUUCUGUUAUACAGCAGACAUCUGAAGCUCUUGUCUGUUCAGAAUUAAAUUCCAUUGUCCUUAUUUCCAGGCAGGGGACUAUAGGAUUGCCGCUUAAACUAUCUCCAUUACUAGCUUCCCUACACACCUACCACAUCCAACCUUAUUGUGUUCUUAAGGUGGUCAGAGAGUAUUCUGUUCCUUCUCUUCAUCUGAUGAUCAGUAUUCUGAAAACACCCAUACCUUUGCUUUCCUGUUUUCUGAUAUGUGAACAGUCAUCAUCUUAUAAGCCACAUGGAUGCUAAAGAAAUCCUCCCCAGGGAGCAAGGCAUGUGCAAAUAUUAUUCACCCGGAAAUUCCAGUUAAUUAGGUCAUGGCAAGGGCUCUGACACAGCUUAGGUCUUAUUCUGUAGAGUACUUAGUUUAAUGCAGGGACAGAGAACCCUUUUCAGCUCAGGGGCCACUUUCCCUCAUGGACAGCCCUUCUGGAGGCCGCAUGCCAAUGGUAGGUAGGGCUAGGAGGAAAGUGGUUGGAGCAAUGGAUGUAAACGCUUCCCUCUGCACAGUUGGCUGGGUUCCAGCCAGCUAUUUUGACACCCCCUCCACCUACCAUCCAUUCUCCACCCACCAGCCAGAAAAACGAGAGGCAGCCAAGCACUGAUUCCAGCCAGGCAAAAGCACAUGAGGACGAUUCAAAGCAAAGCUGGUAAGAGGGUUGGGCCUAGGGAGAGUCCAGGGCAGCAGAGAGAUUCCUCUGCUCCUGACAUCAUGUCUAAUCCAGUCAUGAGAGGGAAAGGAAAGGAUAGAGGCAAAUGGAGCAAGGCGGGUGGAGGGAGGAUGCUCACAGCAUUUUGAAGCUGAAAAAAUCUCUCAACUAAAUUAUGCUUCAUUAUUCAAAUGGCGCUCCUUUUGCACAGAGAGAUCUUGUCUGGUGCUUAUAUGCAAGCCUGCCUUGCACAUUGUGGCUCUGGGUAUGAGCUACAUUCCAUUUACAAUAAUUAACCUGCUCUUCCUUUAUGCAGUGGAAGCUUCUGUGGUACACAUUCUCUCCCUGAAUUAGAUAUCCAGCUUUGGUGUAUUUUUAUACCUAAUUAGACCUAACCUGUCACAUAGCAAAUAGCUCUAUCUAUUGUGUGAUUUAUAACGUCUUUUUCUAUGCAACUGUAUAUUAUCUCAACAAUUCAAAUCCUUGAAUGUAUUUUAAGUAGAGAGAUGUAAACAGCUUGUUUAACUUGACCUUCAGAUGCCCUUUCCUGCUCAAUCCUGAGCUGAUUUCAUUGGUAUACAAUAUGCACUGUAUUUUCAGCCUGUUACUAUAGAAAAGAGCUGUGAAAUGGCAUUUCCCCUUCCCGUUUCUGAUGCCUGUCAUGCUUCGUCAAUGCUGACAAGCAAUUAUUAGCCUUUGUUUCUUUUAUACUGUAUAUUGGCAAAACAAUCAUUGCAAGGAAUUGUAGAGGUAGAAGCCAUUAUCUUUGUACUGUAGUGGUAACAUAGCUUUUAGGCUUACUGAAAAUAUCCAUUAGGUUCUGUCCUCUUAUCUCGAAAUGCUUUUCUGCUCCGCUUUUGAGUUGCUCUGGGAGUUAAAUCGCCAACUUCGCCGACACUAAGAAAGGAUACGAUAACUUUAUUCUCUCUCAAGUUGAUUUUUAUUUUGGACUAGCCUUUGUGUGGUACUGAAUACACCUUCUGUUCAGUUCAACCCUAGUUAGAUUCCUUUUUCCCCUUACCCCUUUUUAAAUUAAUUGAUUUGUUUACACAGGUAAGUUGUUUACAGUUGAUCCAAUAUACAUAAAACUGACAGACAGAUAUACAAGUAUGCAAAUAUCAUUAAACAUCUAUUAAAUACUCAAAUGAAGCAUAUACAUUUCAUGAAGUUCCCAACAAUGAAUGUUGAUGGACAUUAACUUGUGCCUUAUUGCACCUACAAAUUAUAAAAAUGCUCCAUUUUUUCACAUAAGGUUAUCCAGCUGCCUCCCCUCUCUGACUUGGGGAUCAUCCAUAAUUCCUCUUGUUCCACUGCUUUCCCCUGGGGAAAACUGAUAUUUAGCACUCAGUUGCAGCAAAUGGCAAUUCGUGCUUUCCUCUCAGAAGUGUGGAUGAACACUUUCUGUAUUUGUUUUUACUGUAGGUAUGGUAUCCCAAACUUUAAUAUCCACUUCUCCAGAUUCUGAGAAAAUUUGUCAGAUUCUGUGAAAAUUUGGGUUUUCUUAUUUGCAAUGAAAAGCCAUGCCUUUAAAAAUAAAUAAACUAUUUUUUUAAAAAAGAGGUCAUUCAUGACAACCACAUAAUAUAUCACUGAAUUCCUGUGUUUUGGAUGAUAAACCUACAGAAGACAUGUGGAGGUGGAAAAUAGAUCUGACCCACGUGUGGGUCUAUUGCGUGGACAGGCAGAGUCCCCAGAUCCCGAGCGGUCCCCCCUGUCAUGUGGAAUAACAACUCAAGACAAUGUGCUAUGGGAUUAAAUUGGCCACAACUUUAUUAAAUUUCAAAUGUGGGUAGACCUUGGCUCAGGCAUUGGGCGUUCUCCCUCCCCAGUCCCCAGCCGGGGACCUAGGGAGCAUCAGGGUUAUCCAGUGUGUGUGUGGGGGGGAUGGGCCGGCUCUGGAGAACAUAUGUUCAAGCAGAGAUAGCCGCCCCCGUUACGCCGCCGCCGCAGGGGAGAGCUCUUGCCCCCCCACCCCUCUAGCAAUGAACAGACCACACAUUAUUAAGUAAAUUUAAAAGCUGUACUUACUAAAGCUAAAGGUCUGGUUCAUGUGUUAUUCCAUGCAGCAGCAAGGAGAACACAAGUAGAAUACUCUUGGGUGCAAAAAUACAGAUUAUAGUUUCAAGCAUGCAGUCUGAACUUUGGAGCAAGUUCAGACUCAUCCAGUUAAAAAACAACUCCUUUCUCUCCUGGUCUUUUUGGUGUGGUUAUUUAGAGGAAUGGUGCCUGUAUUGAGAAAGGACAGGGAAGCUUGGGUAGUCAUCUGAAGAGCAUAGCUGUUUUAGCAUCCUGUUUGAUUUUAUGUUUGAUUUUGUUUUGAAGAAUUUUGUUGUUGUGACCCUAGGGAUUGCAGUAGGCACUAGGAAUGAAUUUAUGGAACUAAAGUGGCAGUGGCCCCAUAAAAGUCUGGGAACCACUGAUCUCCAUGUAUCUGAUGGUUUGCAAAGUGUGGGAGAACUGUUAUGACUGUUUUGAAAUGUGCUGCAUCUUUCCAGGGCAGAGGCACCAUUGUGUUCAAGGCUGCUCACUUUUUUCCUGCAGUUUUGCUCCCAAAAUGACAAUGUAGAAAGAUGGGAAGAUAAAAAUGCUGGCCUUAGUACUUCUAUAAAGUGCGCUCUCUCUCUGUCUCUCUCUCUCUCACAUACCCUCAGAGAGUAAAAACAAACAAAAACAAACAAACACUUGGGAAAAAUUAUAAGUCUUUGUUUUAUUCCACUUUGCAAGCCACUGCCCUAAAUGAAGCCAAUAAAUGACUUUAGUAGCACAGUUUCCCAGCUGUGAUCCCUGCUUGCCAAAUUUCAGCCUAAAGCCAUUUUUACAGCUUAAUUGUAGCACACUUGUAAAUAGGGGGUUGCUUUUGGAAAGGUUGACAGACCCAUUGGUCUUGUGUAGCUACACAGGUGCUGCUAUAAUAAACACCUUGAAAGCUGUAAUAAGUUAAAGUUUUAGACUCCCUUUUGUGCUAAUAGCAAUGGCCUAUUCCUUGAGUAGAUAAGAGUGGCCCUCAAACACAUGCUGCAGGUUCUGUUGGACAGGAUUUUGCACAAAAUUUACUUUCAGCUCCAUUCUUAUAAUUAUACUCCUUUUACAGUGUUUGGUAAGACUGAGAAAAUAACAGCCAUUGUUUUUCUCCCAGUGUGUAUGGGCCCUGUAAAAAUAGAAAAAUAAGCUAGAAUCAUGCCUUUUGGUUGAUUCUCAGAAAGGAGAAGCAAGGGGUGAUGCUGCGCCCAGUAUACCUCAUCUCCUUGCUUUGCACCAUUCUUGAUAGUUUUUGCAUGACUGUGCCGUUGGCCACUGAUAAUGAUUCUGACUUGCCUGGUUGAAGUAUACAGAGGUGUGUGUGUGUGUGUGUGUGUGUGUGUGUGUGUGUAGAAAUCAGUAUGCUUUUCCUUCUUCCCCUGCCCACCAUGGAGGCAUGUGGGCUCCAGAAGGUAGAUCAGAAGGGAAUUUGACCCUCAGCCUGAAAAGAGUUAUAGGGAAUGGCUGAUAGUGUGGAAUUUUAGCUCUUAAGAAAGGGUUUCAAUAUUAUGCUGCCUUAGGUUGAGAUCAUGCACAAAGUAUCUAGAUCCUACUAUGCACAUCCUGCCCCAUAUUGAGUGGGAGAGAAAUGAGACAAAAGUGGCUGAAAUAUUCCUCUCAUUGCUAUUUCUCCCCAAAGUGUACUUUGCCAUAAUAUCACGAUCAGGGGCUAACCUCAGCAUUGGAGGAGGUGAUUUUUUUGUGGAAGAAUGGUGUGAGGUAGGAAAGGGCUCACCUUCCCAUUUUGUACAUCAUGGUCUCUCUUCUCCAACUCCAAUGUAGCUAUUUCUGGAAAAAAACCCCAGAACAAGCCUGGGAGAGAUGAUCAUAUGGAUGAUGCGUCACCUAGCAUAGGUCUGACUGCACAGGAAAUAGAAAUACAUGAGAUAAACCCUGUGUGAACGUUGAAGCUCCUCAGUAAACUAAAAUUACAGUUCGCCAACAUUACUCCAGUAACUUCCAUGCCAUCUUACUGGGUAGAACACCUGCAUCAUUUCUGUCUUAACUCUUUGAUCCAUCACCAGGUUUAGUCCUUCAAAUUUGGUUCCUGAAUGCAUGUGUCUCAUGGGGCUAGAGAUGGAAUUUCUGUGGGUGACAACAACCCUGCUCCCUCCCUGCCAGCCUAUGCUGCUGCUGAACCAGAGCUGUGUCUAAUUCAUUCAUUCAUUCAUUCAUUCAUUCAUGCCACCUAGAUGCCUGUAAAACAUACCAGGUCAGUCUCCUCACCCAUGAUUUAUAUGUGAGCUGCAUGCUCAAUCAUGGUUAAGGAGGACACAUCUUUUGUUCUCUACCUACAGGGAUGGGCAUAUUUAAAAGCAUACUGUAUAAGGCAAGUUGGAUCAAGGCAUCAUACUUGAUAAACUAUUGGCUCUAAGCCCAUGCAGGGCAGGUUUGUGAUCUUCUCCAAAGCCAACCUUCCCACUGAAUCUGUCUUCUCCCACUUUGGCUGCUCAAUAAGGGUACAACCAGCAACCUGGAUCAUUGUGACCAAUUUUUCUUUUGAGAAGGGACUGCUGAGGGGAGAGCUGACCAUUAAUUGUGGACCCCCGAUACAGGUAUUUUUUUGUAAAAAUAAAUAAAUGUUUGGUUGGAGAACCACACCACAAAUUUCAGGUGCUAAUUUCAAAGGAUGCCUGUAUUUCCGGUCAUAUUGUUUCAGAAAGUACUAAUUUGAUAGAUUUGCCUUCAAAUAGGAAUUGAAUCAAAUUCCUCCCUCAUACCUACAUGAGAGCUAUUUUUAAUGAAAAGGACAGAAUUUUCCCGCAUCUUUGAAAAGUAUCAUGUUUAGCUCAGUCAUGAGAAAAAAAGUUAUCUCAAGUGAUUAUUCAGAUGUCAGCUCACCUUAGCUUGCCACACAUCCUGUAUCUUUGGAAACUUCCUAUUUUUAGUCCUGAGCUUUCUCUGCAUUCAAAACUGCUGACAACACUGAAAUCCUUCCUGCACAAUUCAUUUGGCAAAUAAUUAGGAGCAACCAUUGCUGAUUUGCUUUAUGUGCAAUUUAAUGAGCCAUAUGUGGGCCACGUUAAAUUUAAGAUGUUGCAUAUUAUCUGGGCAAGUGAUAUUAUAUAACACAGUGUCAUGUAGCAUCUUGCAAGAUGUUUAAGGUUUCUGUAUCAUAAGAAGCUGAAAUAUUCAGUGGAAUCUUUUACUGUGGUCUGAAGACUAGUCUUCUCAGUCAAAAGUGAGUAGGUGUAUGUCCAUUGACAGUGGUUGGCAUGGUAAGCCAAUUUUCUCUGUGCAGCAGGCCUGAUCCACAACUAUUGGAAACUGACCCACAACUAUUGGAAAUGAGAGUGAACAGUUGUAAGCAAAUGGUUUCAUGUGUAUUAAGCUUAUCUAGUGUGCCUAUAAGUGUCUGAUCCUCCCCUUUAACAUUUUUCUAAAUGUUAACCCAAGCAUUCAAGGGAAAACUGGGAUAAAAAUUCAAAUUAGAAAACAAUAGCAACCCAGAAUGUAAAGACAUACCAAUAUCAGCAUGCUAAAGUGAUAGCCAGCUCUUCAAUUUUUGUGUUUUAAAGUUCUGGUUCUAAUGUUCUAUUCAGCUGCCAUAGCGAAAGACGUUUUCAGUCACCUGAGGGAGGUCUGUUCCACAAUUUCUAACAGUUUAUAAUGAGAUUUUCAUAUAGUAGUGGAAACCUUUAAAGAUAACCAGGGGAACUUUGCCUGCCUGGUGUGGCGUAGAGGCCCCUGUCAAAACCAUUUCCAGUCACCAGCUUGGUUAUGUUAAUUGUUGGCAAAAUUUGAUAAGAAAUGUGGCCAGUUUACUUCCCUGUCUCUAAACUCAGCUGUGGAAAAUUUGGGCAUGUAGAAUUUGGUGGCUGGUUUCAUCAAACGUAAGCAGUCUGGCUAUGGGAUAUCAGGGGCUCCUCAAAUAAUUUCAGAUGCAAUGCUUUUCAGCGAAGUCAGUUGUCUGUUCAUAGGAACAAUUUCACACAACCUUUCACCACAUGUAGAGCAGAGAGUGAUACUACAUCUAAUGUCCUCUACUCCUAUGCAUGUGUACAGGUAGUUGAAAUUUUAGAAUAAAAGCUGUACACAUACAGCUGGGUGUGCCGGACCUUUUGCUACACAUAUAUAGUUAUCUGCUGUCAGGGCUGCAGUCAGAUGCAGGUUAGCAAGAAAGGAAGCAAAGCUCCAAUGUCAGUGAAGUAAACUCUUUAUUCAAGGAAACAAAAUACAACUCAGCCAAUCCAUGACAUGUGCAUGCUGGUUCUUUUUCAACCUGCAGUCGAAUGCUACUGGUUACAGUAGAGCCUAGGGAUGGGGGAGGAAUUCAAUUCAGUUUGCAUUCAAAUGCAAACUUUCAUGCAUUGCAGAUUCCGAAACAAUAUGCAAACCAAUCCAGGGGUAAAAUAUGGGGAGAAGCAAGUAAGCCCUGUGCCACAUAAACACAUGACACGGUGCAUGGACUCCAUUUGAAUGGCAAUGCCCAUCAACUUCGGGAACUCCAACCCGCUCAAAUAUUUUACUGGGGGCCAAAGGCCCCUCAGCCCCUAGGAAUUGGCUCCUAUGAACCAAUCAGAGUCAUCCUUCAGAAAUUCACAUUUCUCUGAAUUUUGCAGUGCAUUUCUCCAGCACACAAAAAUGCAUAUAUGAAUGUAAAGUGUGCAUAGAAAUGCAUAUAUUAGUUAAAAUAACAUAAAACACAUAUUUUUGCAAAGCAGUUUCCCCUGAUGUGUAUCUUAGGAUAAAUUUGCACUAAAGUGCUAAUGAAUUUUCAUGAGGGCUUAAAAGCUGCAACCCACAAACUAAAGUGGGAGUGUGGAGCAUUG